GUCGGGGGCUCGCGCAGGGCGCACCUGGCGGGGCGUGGCGGAGCGUGGCGGGGCGCGGCGGAGCAGUUUGAUAGCGCCACGCCCGCCCCGACCCGCACUGCCACAACCCGACAGCAGCAGCAGCAGCAGCAGCAGCAGCAGCAGCAGCAGCAGCAGCGCGGCUACUCUCACGGCUCGCUCAUGGCUACAGGUUGUCUGUGCCCGCGCCCGGCCAAAGCGACGGACGUGUCGUCGCUCCGGCGAGGGUUGUUGGGGGGGAGCAGAGGAGACACUCACUGAGGAAGGCGGCGGGCAGGUUCCUCGGCAGGCGUAUGUCGGGGUCCAGGUUGCCGUGGGACUCGGGGGAGGACUGCGGCGGCGUGAGCGGCACGGGCACGUCGGUGCGCUCUCGCUCUCUGCAUAUCGACGUGUGGAUGACUUGGAUAAACAGCAGCCAUGGGGUUUUCGCGCGCGUCCUCCCACCCGCACACGCGCACGGUGGCGGGCCCAAAUGAAUGAGGCUGCGGCGAGAGAGGCAAGU